UGAGGAAUAUUGGUCAAUGGGCGGAAGCCUGAACCAGCCAAGUAGCGUGCAGGACGACGGCCCUAUGGGUUGUAAACUGCUUUUAUGCGGGGAUAAAGUGGGCCACGUGUGGCCUUUUGCAGGUACCGCAUGAAUAAGGACCGGCUAAUUCCGUGCCAGCAGCCGCGGUAAUACGGAAGGUCCGGGCGUUAUCCGGAUUCAUUGGGUUUAAAGGGAGCGUAGGCCGCCCUUUAAGCGUGUUGUGAAAUGUAGGGGCUCAACCCCUGCACUGCAGCGCGAACUGGAGGGCUUGAGUACACGCAAGGCAGGCGGAAUUCGUGGUGUAGCGGUGAAAUGCUUAGAUAUCACGAAGAACCCCGAUUGCGAAGGCAGCUUGCCGGAGUGUGACUGACGCUGAAGCUCGAAAGCGCGGGUAUCGAACAGGAUUAGAUACCCUGGUAGU
rnacentral:rRNA from 1 species